AACGAACGCUGGCGGCAGGCUUAACACAUGCAAGUCGAACGCCCCGCAAGGGGAGUGGCAGACGGGUGAGUAACGCGUGGGAAUCUACCGUACCCUACGGAACAACAGUUGGAAACGACUGCUAAUACCGUAUACGCCCCACGGGGGAAAGAUUUAUCGGGGUAUGAUGAGCCCGCGUUGGAUUAGCUAGUUGGUGGGGUAAAGGCCUACCAAGGCGACGAUCCAUAGCUGGUCUGAGAGGAUGAUCAGCCACAUUGGGACUGAGACACGGCCCAAACUCCUACGGGAGGCAGCAGUGGGAAAUAUUGGACAAUGGGCGCAAGCCUGAUCCAGCCAUGCCGCGUGAGUGUUGAAGGUCUUAGGAUUGUAAAGCUCUUUCACCGAUGAAGAUAAUGACGGUAGUCGGAGAAGAAGCCCCGGCUAACUUCGUGCCAGCAGCCGCGGUAA
rnacentral:rRNA from 1 species